rnacentral:pre_miRNA from 1 species
GUAGUAUUCCCUCCGUCCCAAAAUUCUUGUCUUACAUUUGUUUAGAUACGGAUGUAUCUAACACUAAAAUGUAACUAGAUACAUCCGUAUUUAGACAAAUUUAAGACAAGAAUUUUGGGACGGAAGGAGUACAAA